AAUGAAACGUGUUCAGAUCUUAAAGGAGAGUUUUCAGCACCUGUACAUCUACAAAUAUGACCGAAGUCCUGUUAUGUGUACAGCUGGAACCUUGUCUACAUACCAAGGUGCUUCCCUAUAAGCAAGCACAGGGGUAAGAACAAACUUCAUGGGCUCAACUAGAUUAGAUAACUAGAUUUGUCAGGUGCACUCAAUAGUAGUAAGGAGUUGAAGAGGAAUUCACUAAAGCUUAAAGAUGAUCAGAUAUGACUGAAAGUAAUGCUUCUGUCUUCUGCAGUGCUAAACAUCCUUAUGGAUAACUUCUAGGUACAGAUCCA
rnacentral:lncRNA from 1 species